rnacentral:rRNA from 1 species
GACGAACGCUGGCGGCGCGCUUAACACAUGCAAGUCGAACGGAAAGGCCUGCUUUCCCUUGUGGAUUGCGGGUACUCGAGUGGCGAACGGGCGAGUAACACGUGAGUGAUCUGCCCCCAACUUGGGUAUAAGCCUGGGAAACUGGGUCUAAUUCCCGAUAGGACUGCAGGGUGGUGCCUGUGGUGGAAAACGAUUUUCUAGUGGUUGGGGAUGAGCUCGCGGCCUAUCAGCUUGUUGGUGGGGUAAUGGCCUACCAAGGCGGCGACGGGUAGCCGGCCUGAGAGGGUGGACGGCCACAUUGGGACUGAGAUACGGCCCAGACUCCUACGGGAGGCAGCAGUGGGGAAUAGUGCACAAUGGGCGGAAGCCUGAUGCAGCGACGCCGCGUGGGGGAUGACGGCCUUCGGGUUGUAAACUCCUUCCGACCGCGAGGAAGCCACCUGGUUGGAAGGGUGGUGACGGUAGUGGUAGAAGAAGCACCGGCUAACUACGUG